AUGCCAUCAAAGGAGAAAGACGUUGCAUCAGAGUUAGACGUAAGUAACCCGUACCAGCUUGACCCUGUCGGGUCCCAAACUGUGGAGGAGCAUGAGGAGUACAUCGAGAAAGAAGGGAGAUAUGUAGUUGGAGAAAGUGAGGGAGAUGGUAAAGAGGAGGAGGAAGAGCCAGGCUGGCAGAAACGUUAUGGGAAGAUCUGGGUGGAGUUAGAGAAGAGGGAGGUUAAGUCCUCCUACAGGAACGUGGCGGCCGAACUGAAGGAGAAAUUUGGAAAAUUUCCAGCUGAAUCUGCCUCUGACGAAACUACAGAAGAAGAAGAAAAAUGGGAGGAGAACGUAGAGAUAGUUGAAUCUCCCGCCAGAACCACUGAGGAAGAGUCCAGCAACAAAGAGCUGGGGGAGCCUAUGGUCUGUCCAUUGAGCAGGGCAAGGAGGAGUAGCAGCAAUGCAGUCCUGCUGACCAUUCUUGAGCAGAGGGGGUCCGGGCUGGAGGACUCUCUGACCAAGUCGGCUGACAACUCCAACUCUAGCCCAAACAAAGAUGCCACUACCAAACCAAAGCCUGCCGCAGAGGAACGUUGGCCAGGGCAAGUCCAACAGAACGAUGAGAAGAGCCCCUCCAUGUACGAAGAAGAAACCGAAGUGCGUCCCUCCCAGUCUCAGCCCCCCUCAUUGAGCAAUGUGUGUCCCCCAGCUCCUUUCCUUCCCUCAGACGAAGAGCUGGAAGAGGACCUACAGAGGUUCAAGCACGAGGUAGGGAUGCUGAAGGUUGUGUUCCUGGAUUUGGAGAAAGAGAAGGCCCUGCUCUGGAAAGAGGUAGAGGAUUAUUACUGCUCCCGUUAUAGUCCCCCCAACUCUUUCUUGUUCUUUCUCUCUUUUUCUUUCUCCGCUUUUUCCAUUCCAUCACCUCAGCUGAGUCUGUGUGAAAAGGCCCAAAACAAUGCCAGGGAAAUACCUCUUGUAGACAUCCUGUUUCACUCUUUUUUUGUUUCUUUUUUUCUACUUCCUGCCAUUCCUCUUUUCUUUUAUCGGAAAUUGUCGACAUUUAACCUCUCUAGGGUAUGUGGGACGAAAUCGUCCCACCUAGUCAACAGCCAGUGGAAUCGAGUGGCGCAAUAUUCAAAUACCUUAGAAAUGCUAUUACUUCAAUUUCUCAAACAUAUGACUAUUUUACACCAUUUUAAAGACAAGACUCUCGUUAAUCUAACCACAUUGUCAAAUUUCAAAAAGGCUUUACAACGAAAGCAAAACAUUAGAUUAUGUCAGUAG
rnacentral:lncRNA from 8 species